rnacentral:rRNA from 1 species
GACGAACGCUGGCGGCGUGCUUAACACAUGCAAGUCGAACGGAAAGGCCCUUCGGGGUACUCGAGUGGCGAACGGGUGGGUAACACGUGGGUGAUCUGCCCUGCACUUUGGGAUAAGCCUGGGAAACUGGGUCUAAUACCGAAUAGGACCACGCGCUUCAUGGUGUGUGGUGGCAAGCUUUUGCGGUGUGGGAUGGGCCCGCGGCCUAUCAGCUUGUUGGUGGGGUAAUGGCCUACCAAGGCGACGACGGGUAGCCGGCCUGAGAGGGUGACCGGCCACACUGGGACUGAGGUACGGCGCAGACUCCUACGGGAGGCAGCAGUGGGGAAUAUUGCACAAUGGGCGCAAGCCUGAUGCAGCGACGCCGCGUGAGGGAUGACGGCCUUCGGGUUGUAAACCUCUUUCGAUAGGGACGAAGCGGAAGUGACGGUACCUAUAGAAGAAGCACCGGCCAACUACGUG